rnacentral:lncRNA from 1 species
GGAAAGGAAUCUUUUUGUUUCUCAAAGGUGCUUCUAAAAAGACAAAGUACCCCUACUGCAACAGUUCUGGAUGUGUAACAAGGAAAAAGGUUGAGCAAUGUCAAUGGCCAUGCUGAUUUUGUUUGAUCUGAAAGCUGUUGCGCCGGCAAUAACCUUCAUGGUCAUUUGCAGUGAUAUCUUCAAAAAUCUGACAUCUAGCAUACAUCGUACAGGUGUUGCCGUUUUCGUAAGUGUGGUACUUAACUACGUCGGUAAAACAGUCAUAUCGAUAGGCACUGCACGGUGGAAACUACUUCUAGAUGCGUAAUUCUGGAAGGACAAACGGAAGAGGAAAAAAAGAGGACACAACAAUACUAAAAGACAUCUAAAAUUUUCUUUGAUUCAAAACGUGAUCUCUCAACUUUGAUGUCCACUGAAUUCCUUUCCGUGAUUGCAAACAUCAUUAAUGCAAUCAGUG